UAACCUGCCCUGGAGUGGGAAUAACAGCUGGAAACAGCUGCUAAUACCGCAUAAUGCAGUUGGGCCGCAUGGCUCUGACUGCCAAAGAUUUAUCGCUCUGGGAUGGACUCGCGUCUGAUUAGCUAGUUGGUGGGGCAACGGCCCACCAAGGCGACGAUCAGUAGCCGGACUGAGAGGUUGGCCGGCCACAUUGGGACUGAGACACGGCCCAGACUCCUACGGAAGGCAGCAG
rnacentral:rRNA from 1 species